CACACACAAAGAAACGCCGUGGCUGCAGCGUUUUCGUUCGAUUUUUUCCCGCUAAGGAAACCAUAUGGACGUUAGGGUUUUGACUUGCAUGAACCUCGAUCAAGGAUACCGGAGAAGGAUCUGCCAAUACUGAAUCUUGGGAUGAGCAGUGUUUCCAGAAUACCAACGAACACCAUGCUGAGCAUUAGGUUGCAGUUGAAUUUGUGAUUAUUAUUAAUUAAUAAGAUAUGAAUCCAAAAUAAAAUCAGUAGUGAAAAAAGACACAAAGACAAAAAUAAGAGUAGGGAAGAACGAGGAUGUAGUGAAUGAGUGUGGUAGAGAAGAGUGAGAGAGAGAGAGUUAGCGAAAUAAGAGAGAUCAGGUCAGCCGAGAGAGAAGUUGAAGAUGUAUGUGUGAGCAAACAAGAAAUAAAUCAGUCGUGUGUUUUGCUUUGGCCAGAAAA